CCUACGGGCGGCAGCAGUCGAGAAUCAUUCACAAUGGGGGAAACCCUGAUGGUGCGACGCCGCGUGGGGGAAUGAAGGUCUUCGGAUUGUAAACCCCUGUCAUGUGGGAGCAAAUUAAAAAGAUAGUACCACAAGAGGAAGAGACUGCUAACUCUGUGCCAGCAGCCGCGGUAAUACAGAGGUCUCAAGCGUUGUUCGGAAUCACUGGGCGUAAAGCGUGCGUAGGCUGUUUCGUAAGUCGUGUGUGAAAGGCGCGGGCUCAACCCGCGGACGGCACAUGAUACUGCGAGACUAGAGUAAUGGAGGGGGAAGCGGAAUGCUCGGUGUAGCAGUGAAAUGCGGAGAUAUCGAGAGGAACACUCGUGGCGAAGGCGGGUUCCUGGACAUUAACUGACGCUGAGGCACGAAGGCCAGGGGAGCGAAAGGGAUUAGAUACCCGUGUAGUC
rnacentral:rRNA from 1 species